ensembl:lncRNA
CUAACACUGAACUCAUGAGAGCCAGAUCAAAUCCAGAUGAAUAGUAGAGGCAAGAGUCCAGCUGAGAGUUUUGCUACUCACUGAUUUAAGUCGACAAACAGCAGCUGGGAACAAAGUCAUGAAGUUCCAAAGAACCUUCUGAUGCCAGCUGAAAUCGAUGAACGAGUUAUUGCUGAGUUCAGAAGAUCCUGAAUCCUAAAAUGCCAGAUCAAAGAAAAUGAAGACUCUGUGUAGGAACGUACUGCACGUUAAAGUUUUUCAGUCUAAGAAAUGAUUGAUCUAAUGACGCAGCCGCUUCCUGUGCCAACAAACCCCACCGCUGCCGGAUCCUGUCUGGGGAGAGAGACACAGAUACGAAUGCCAUGGAGUCAGCUCUCAGUCUAUUAUCUUUAGCUACAUAGAUUUAUAGUCCAGAAGAAUUCUACACGCAUGCGUACCCAUUCAUCCAUCGCACAAUCCCAUGCACCCACGUGCCGACCCUCCCCCCUAAGUAGCGAAUCAUUCAAGAUGUUUUUCUACUGUCUUCAGCUUGUUGUGCAGCAAACUUGUUGUGCAGCAGAGUUCCGCUGCAGCGUCCUUGACCAUAUCUCCAACAAUCUAAUGAUAACAGACAUAAGUAAAGCUUAUUGACACAGAGAUACAGCAUAAAGACAUGGAUACAACCCACGUGUGUGGUGUAAUGUUUAGUGUAUA